AGCAAUAAUAGCUUAAAUAGAGCAUCGGUCUUGUAAGCCGAAGGUGAGUAAAUUUUCUCUUAUUGCUA
rnacentral:tRNA from 1 species